rnacentral:misc_RNA from 1 species
GGAAGGAUCAUUAACGUAUCUCUGGCGGGUGCCAGUGCGCCCUGCUCCGGCCCGCAAAGGCCGUGCAGCGGGUGCCCGGCCCUGUCCAACCUUCACAAACCCACCGUGCACAUUCACGGCAGAGGGUCCCCCGUUUCCUGCGGGAGUCCCGAAGCCGCUCACACAAACCCCAAAUCAACGAAUGAACAGCGACCUUUGCGUCGUCAAAAUUUGAAACAACUUUCAACAACGGAUCUCUUGGCUCUCGCAUCGAUGAAGAACGCAGCGAAAUGCGAUAAGUAAUGUGAAUUGCAGAAUUCAGUGAAUCAUCGAAUCUUUGAACGCACCUUGCGCUCCUUGGUAUUCCGAGGAGCAUGCCUGUUUGAGUGUCUUGAAGUCAUCAACCCUUCCCGUUUUGUGCGGGAUGCGGUUGGAGCUGGGGGUGUGCGGCCGCGAGGCCGCUCCCUUCAAAUGCAUCGGUUGGACCUGUGGGUCGAACUCGACUGGGCGUUGUACCAUCCUCGCUCUCCCGAGACGUUCCCCUUCCGUGUCCUUCCACGACCUGCUGUAGAGUGGCGGUCAAAACCAAACUUUGAAAUCUGACCUCAAAUCAGGUAGGACUACCCGCUGAACUUAAGCAUAUCAAUAAGCGGAGGAAAAGAAACUAACAAGGAUUCCCCUAGUAACUGCGAGUGAAGCGGGAAAAGCUCAAAUUUGAAAUCUGACGGUUCCGCCGUCCGAGUUGUAUUCUGGAGAAGCGUUUUCCGCGCCGGACCGUGUACAAGUCCCUUGGAACAGGGCGUCAUAGAGGGUGAGAAUCCCGUCUUUGACACGGACCCCCGGUGCUCUGCGAUGCGCUCUCGAAGAGUCGAGUUGUUUGGGAAUGCAGCUCAAAAUGGGUGGUAAAUUCCAUCUAAAGCUAAAUAUUGGCGAGAGACCGAUAGCGAACAAGUACCGUGAGGGAAAGAUGAAAAGCACUUUGGAAAGAGAGUAAAACAGUACGUGAAAUUGUUGAAAGGGAAACGCUUGAAGUCAGUCGCGUCUGCCGGAACUCAGCCUUGCUUCUGCUUGGUGCACUUUCCGGUUUGACGGGCCAGCAUCGGUUUCGAGCGGCGGACACUGGCGUGGGGAAGGUGGCAGCUCCGGCUGUGUUAUAGCCCCUCGUCGCAAACGCCGCCCGGGACCGAGGAAUCCGGCGCAAGCCUGGGAUGCUGGCGUAAUGGCUUUAAACGACCCGUCUUGAAACACGGACCAAGGAGUGCUACGUGCUCGCGAGUGUUUGGGUGGAAAACCCGAGCGCGCAAUGAAAGUGAAAGUCGAUACCCCUUGCGGGGGCACCGACGCCCGAGCCUGAUGUUUUCGGAAGGCCUUGCGGUAGAGCGAGUGCGUUGCGACCCGAAAGAUGGUGAACUAUUCCUGAGGAGGGCGAAGCCAGAGGAAACUCUGGUGGAGGCUCGUAGCGGUUCUGACGUGCAAAUCGAUCGCAGGACUUGGGUAUAGGGGCGAAAGACUAAUCGAACCAUCUAGUAGCUGGUUCCUGC